GACGAACGCUGGCGGCGUGCUUAACACAUGCAAGUCGAACGGUAAGGCCCUUUCGGGGGUACACGAGUGGCGAACGGGUGAGUAACACGUGGGUGAUCUGCCCUGCACUUUGGGAUAAGCCUGGGAAACUGGGUCUAAUACCGGAUAGGACUACGCGAUGCAUGUCGUGUGGUGGAAAGCUUUUGCGGUGUGGGAUGGGCCCGCGGCCUAUCAGCUUGUUGGUGGGGUGAUGGCCUACCAAGGCGACGACGGGUAGCCGGCCUGAGAGGGUGUCCGGCCACACGGGGACAGAGUGACGGCCCAGACUCCGACGGGAGGCAGGAGGGGGGAAGAGUGCACAAGGGGCGCAAGCCUGAUGCAGCGACGCCGCGUGGGGGAUGACGGCCUUCGGGUGGUAAACACCUUUCAGCACAGACGAAGCGUAAGUGACGGUAUGUGCAGAAGAAGCACCGGCCAACUACGU
rnacentral:rRNA from 1 species